rnacentral:rRNA from 1 species
CCUCAGUAGUUAGAUAACAAAACUACUCGCCAGAAUACUACGAGCUACAGCUUAAAACUCAAAGGACUUGACGGUGCUUUACACCCCCUAGAGGAGCCUGUUCCGUAAUCGAUAAACCCCGAUCCACCCCACCCUCUCUUGCUCAGCCUAUAUACCGCCAUCUUCAGCAAACCCUAAUGAAGGUCACAAAGUGAGCGCAAACGCCGUCACCGCGAGUACGUUAGGUCAAGGUGUAGCCUAUGAGAUGGUAAAAAAUGGGCUACAUUUUCUACCUCAGAAAAUUCCACGAAAACCCUUAUGAAAUUUAAGGGCCCAAGGAGGAUUUAGCAGUAAAUUAAGAAUAGAGUGCUUAAUUGAACCAGGCCAUAAAGNG